UACGAAGGGGGCUAGCGUUGCUCGGAAUCACUGGGCGUAAAGCGCACGUAGGCGGAUUGUUAAGUCGGGGGUGAAAUCCUGGAGCUCAACUCCAGAACUGCCUUCGAUACUGGGAGCUCGAGUCCGGGAGAGGUGAGUGGAACUGCGAGUGUAGAGGUGAAAUUCGUAGAUAUUCGCAAGAACACCAGUGGCGAAGGCGGCUCACUGGCCCGGUACUGACGCUGAGGUGCGAAAGCGUGGGGAGCAAACAGG
rnacentral:rRNA from 1 species